rnacentral:rRNA from 1 species
GACGAACCGUGCAAACGUUGUUCGUAAUCACUGGGCUUAAAGGGCGCGUAGGCGGCUCGCCAAGUCGGGGGUGAAAUCUUUCGGCUCAACCGGAAAAGUGCCUUCGAUACUGGCGGGCUGGAGGGAGGUAGGGGCAUGUGGAACUUCCGGUGGAGCGGUGAAAUGCGUUGAUAUCGGAAGGAACGCCGGUGGCGAAAGCGACGUGCUGGACCUCUUCUGACGCUGAGGCGCGAAAGCUAGGGGAGCGAACGGG